rnacentral:rRNA from 1 species
CACCGGCAGCUCGAGUGGUAGCUGUUUUUAUUGGGCCUAAAGCGUUCGUAGCCGGUUUGAUAAGUCUUUGGUGAAAGCUUGUAGCUUAACUAUAAGAAUUGCUGGAGAUACUAUUAGACUUGAAGUCGGGAGAGGUUAGAGGUACUACCGGGGUAGGGGUGAAAUCCUAUAAUCCUGGGAGGACCACCUGUGGCGAAGGCGUCUAACUGGAACGAUCUUGACGGUGAGUAACGAAAGCCAGGGGCGCGAA